CGUCGACGAACGACCGAGCCACGAGGACCGCAGACGACCCACGAAACGAGUCGAGUGCAUCCGCCCGUAGCAACCUGUAAGGUUGGUGUGAUUUAUUUUACCUCGAGAGGUGUACAAUGUCGACGCACGGAAUGACGGGCGGUCUGGCGAUCGGAGACGUUGGGUGGGCGGAGUGCUGCUGUUGGCUAUCCAGUGGGUUGCAUGGUUUGCCUAUCAUCGAGAUGAAUGUCUUGGAAAGACCGCUGCUCGUCUCGGCGGCGUGACGUGGAAGAGUUGGAGCAUUUAUAGAGAGAGUGUUAUUUCCGUUGUGUUCGGUCUGUCUUUUUGACCACCCUUGUGGAGUUUGUUGGUCAGAAUGAGUUGAUGGAUGCUGUUGUGGUCAGUAGUUGAUGUUAAUCAGGAUGUUCAUUUGCUGAUCCCCACUUUUGGGAAAUGCAUUCUGAAGCCGGAAAUGUUGAAGUGGUACUUCCGGUGUGGAGGUCCUGUUCAGUGUUUACGUACUCAUUGUCUGUUUAGAGUUGUUUUCUGUUAGAAUGUAGUUGUUAUUAGAGAGACAAUUCAAGACAAUAUCGAUUGAGCGUUUUCAGAGAGGUUAUGUGUCAGAUAUGAGAUGUGAUCACUAAUCAAAACGUUAUGGAACGAUAUCCAGCUUCGGGUAUCGUUUCAGCGUGCACAUAAGCGAGCGCGGUGCGGUCUAUUGGCGUACGCGUUUCGGUUUAUAACCUUCAUCAGCGCCAGACACGCAUCGAUGAGAAUGUCUAACCUUGCAACACGCUAGAGAAUGUCACUCGUCAGUUGUCGUUCAUAUAAAGAAGUUUUGAGAAGUCGUGACGUGAUCGGAGGUUUGACUAGGUUUCAGAACAAUGGAUUCUUGUGUCCGUUUGACGUAAUGAGUUCUUUUGGUAUGUCGGCGGCGGGAGAUAUAUGUCUGUAUCCGGAAGCAACGGUGACGGUGUGGUUGGAAAGAGCAGCUGGCAUAAGUGAUAUGGACGAACAGAGCGAGUGAUGAUGAGCUCCCGAUGAGGUGAAGACGACAUCUGAUCGGUGAGUCUGCGUGUAUGGGUAUGUGUGUCUAUGUGUGACAUGCAGGUUGUCUGUCCUGAGUGUUGUGUUUGCGUGGUGUGGGGUGUAUGAGUGUUAUUUGGUGUCGUGGAGUAAGAUUGGGGGUAGAAAUAAUUUUUUAUUUAUUUAUAAAUAUUUAUUUAUUAAUUAAAUAGUGUAUUUAUUUAAUAAAUUUAGUUAAAUAAA